CCUUUUAGUAGUGAUUACAAGCCCAGAUCCAGGCCCACGACUUGGCCCGUUUAAAGGAAACGACGCCGUUUUGGUAAGUUGUAAAGUCCCUCUUCUUUUUCCCCUCCCAAUCGGUUUCUCCUUUCCUCAGUUUCUCUCCUCCCCAUUUUCUCUCACGCACUCUGUUUCUCCCUCUCCUUUCACCCAGCAGUUUCUUUGUGCGACAGACCUCAUAGUUGGUUUCUAGGGCUUCAAUUGACGAUAGUCACUCAUCCCCGUCGUGCAACACCACCGCUACGAUCAGCGUCAUCGCCGAUUUCCCUGUUCACAUAGUUUAUUCUCAUUUUCCUCGCCCCUCUCUUGUGAUUUGUGAGUCUACCGUCCGCUGCUCUGUGGGUUGUGUCGCCUGCAAGUUCCUCGCCGGUGUUUUGGUGAAAUGACGCCACCGUGCGUGACCAAGCCGUACGUUGUCGCCUCUGUCCGUGGGCUCCAUUUUCGUCGCCGUAGUUCCCAUCCCACAUCAACGCCUCCUCUUACUCUAGGUUUUAGGCCGCAGUUAACAGGGACAUCGGAAUCUAUAGGCACCUCUCACUGGCACCAA